rnacentral:rRNA from 1 species
UACAGAGGUCUCAAGCGUUGUUCGGAUUCAUUGGGCGUAAAGGGUGCGUAGGCGGAUUGCUAAGUCAGGGGUGAAAUCCUGGAGCUCAACUCCAGAACUGCCUUUGAUACUGGCGAUCUCGAGUCCGGGAGAGGUGAGUGGAACUGCGAGUGUAGAGGUGAAAUCGUAGAUAUUCGCAAGAACACCAGUGGCGAAGGCGGACUCACUGGCCCGGGUACUGACGCUGACGGUGCGAAAG